rnacentral:sRNA from 18 species
CCCGUCCGCCCCGUGGACCGCCCUGACCAUCCGGGGCUCUCCGGGCUACCCUUGCGGCGUGCGGCCUCCCCGGGAGGCCGCAAAGCCGACAGCCGUCGCACUCCAGGGAGCAGCUCCAUG